rnacentral:rRNA from 1 species
CAGCCGCCGCGGUAAUACGUAGGGUGCGAGCGUUAAUCGGAAUUACUGGCGUAAAGCGUGCGCAGGCGGUUAUAUAAGACAGAUGUGAAAUCCCCGGGCUCAACCUGGGACCUGCAUUUGUGACUGUAUAGCUAGAGUACGGUAGAGGGGGAUGGAAUUCCGCGUGUAGCAGUGAAAUGCGUAGAUAUGUGGAGGAACACCGAUGGCGAAGGCAAUCCCCUGGACCUGUACUGACGCUCAUGCACGAAAGCGUGGGGAGCAAACAGGAUUAGAGACCCCCGUAGUCCCUGUCUCUUAUACA